rnacentral:rRNA from 1 species
UACGUAGGGUGCGAGCGUUAAUCGGAAUUACUGGGCGUAAAGCGUGCGCAGGCGGUUGUGCAAGACCGAUGUGAAAUCCCCGGGCUCAACCUGGGAACUGCAUUUGUGACUGCACGGCUGGAGUGCGGCAGAGGGGGAUGGAAUUCCGCGUGUAGCAGUGAAAUGCGUAGAUAUGCGGAGGAACACCGAUGGCGAAGGCAAUACCCUGGGCCUGCACUGACGCUCAGGCACGAAAGCGUGGGGAGCAAACAGG